rnacentral:rRNA from 1 species
AGCAGCCGCGGUAAUUCCAGCUCCAAUAGCGUAUAUUAAAGUUGUUGCAGUUAAAAAGCUCGUAGUUGAAUUUCGGGGUUAGCAGGUCGGUCGUGCCAUCGGUAUGAACUGGUCUCGCUGGUCCCUCCCUCUUGACGAACUGUGAUGCCAUUAAUUUGGUGUCGCAGGGAAUCAGGACUGUUACUUUGAAAAAAAUUAGAGUGUUUAAAGCAGGCUCACGCUUGAAUACAUUAGCAUGGAAUAAUGAAAUAGGACGUUUGAUCCUAUUUUGUUGGUUUCUAGGAUUGACGUAAUGAUUAAUAGGGAUAGUUGGGGGCAUUAGUAUUCAAUUGUCAGAGGUGAAAUUCUUGGAUUUAUUGAAGACUAACUACUGCGAAAGCAUUUGCCAAGGAUGUUUUCAUUAAUCAAGAACGAAAGUUAGGGGAUCGAAGACGAUCAGAUACCGUCGUAGUCUUAACUAUAAACUAUGCCGACUAGGAAUCGGGCGAUGUUAUUCUCUAUGACUCGCCCGGCG